UACGUAGGGGGCAAGCGUUUGUCCGGAAUCAUUGGGCGUAAAGCGCGUGUAGGCGGCCUUGUAGGUCUGUUCUGAAAGCCCGGGGCUCAACCCCGGGAGGCGGAUGGAUACUGCAAGGCUCGAGUACGGAAGAGGCGAGUGGAAUUCCCGGUGUAGCGGUGAAAUGCGCAGAUAUCGGGAGGAACACCAAUGGCGAAGGCAGCUCGCUGGGACGUUACUGACGCUGAGACGCGAAAAGCGUGGGGAGCAAACAGGG
rnacentral:rRNA from 1 species